UACGAAGGGGGCUAGCGUUGCUCGGAAUCACUGGGCGUAAAGCGCACGUAGGCGGCUCUCUAAGUCAGGGGUGAAAUCCUGGAGCUCAACUCCAGAACUGCCCUUGAUACUGAGGAUCUCGAGUUCGGGAGAGGUGAGUGGAACUGCGAGUGUAGAGGUGAAAUUCGUAGAUAUUCGCAAGAACACCAGUGGCGAAGGCGGCUCACUGGCCCGAUACUGACGCUGAGGUGCGAAAGCGUGGGGAGCAACAGGG
rnacentral:rRNA from 1 species